GUAACACGUGGAUCAUCUGCCUUUUAGUGGGGAAUACCGCUGGGAAACCGGCGACAAUACCGCAUAAUCUCGAGAGAGGAAAGCCGAAAGGCGCUGAAAGAGGAGUCCGCGGUCGAUUAGCUAGUUGGUGAGGUAAUGGCUCACCAAGGCUGUGAUCGAUAGCCGGCCUGAGAGGGCACACGGCACACUGGCACUGAAACACGGGCCAGACUCCUACGGGAGGCAGCAGUGGGGAAUCUUGCACAAUGGGGGAAACCCUGACGCAGCAACGCCGCGUGGAGGAUGAAAUCCCUUGGGAUGUAAACUCCUUUCGAUCGGGACGAUUAUGACGGUACCGGAAGAAGAAGCCCCGGCUAACUACGUGCCAGCAGCCGCGGUAAGACGUAGGGGGCCAGCGUUGCUCGGAAUUACUGGGUGUAAAGGGUUCGUAGCGGUGCGGCAAGUUGGGAGUGAAAUCUCUGGGCUCAACCCAGGAGGCUGCUUCCAAAACUGCUGUGCUUGAGUGUGGGAGAGGCGC
rnacentral:rRNA from 1 species